rnacentral:rRNA from 1 species
UACGAAGGGGGCUAGCGUUGUUCGGAAUCACUGGGCGUAAAGGGCGCGUAGGCGGUCUGCUAAGUUGGAUGUGAAAACUCUGGGCUUAACCCAGAGCCUGCAUUCAAUACUGACAGGCUAGAGUUCUGGAGGGGAUAGCGGAAUUCCUGGUGUAGCGGUGAAAUGCGUAGAUAUCGAGAGGAACACCUGCGGCGAAGGCGGGUAGCUGGGCCGACACUGACGCUGAUGCGCGAAAGCCAGGGGAGCGAACGGG